GACGAACGCUGGCGGCGUGCUUAACACAUGCAAGUCGAACGGAAAGGCCCUGCUUUUGUGGGGUGCUCGAGUGGCGAACGGGUGAGUAACACGUGAGUAACCUGCCCUUAACUUUGGGAUAACUUCAGGAAACUGGGGCUAAUACCGGAUAGGAGCUCCUGCUGCAUGGUGGGGGUUAGAAAGUUUCGGCGGUUGGGGAUGGACUCGCGGCUUAUCAGCUUGUUGGUGGGGUAGUGGCUUACCAAGGCUUUGACGGGUAGCCGGCCUGAGAGGGUGACCGGCCACAUUGGGACUGAGAUACGGCCCAGACUCCUACGGGAGGCAGCAGUGGGGAAUAUUGCACAAUGGGCGGAAGCCUGAUGCAGCAACGCCGCGUGCGGGAUGACGGCCUUCGGGUUGUAAACCGCUUUCGCCUGUGACGAAGCGUGAGUGACGGUAAUGGGUAAAGAAGCACCGGCUAACUACGUG
rnacentral:rRNA from 1 species